rnacentral:lncRNA from 1 species
CCAAACCCAAGCCCACCAGGUCCCAAGAAGCUUAUAACUAAAACCCGGCCUCUUCUAGGGUUUCAACAAUUCCUCUGCUGCCGCCUCGUCCGCCGGAGCUCUAAUCUUCUUCUUCAUUCUCCGUCGCCGCCGGCCGACCGACAGACCGAUAUACAGAAGCGAUGGUAUCAUUUCUCUCUUGUUUUCUGUGCGUGAUUUUCUUUUUAUUUUCACGUUUAUGUUGGCAAUAGAGAUUAAAUCAUUUACUGAUUUUAAUUUGAUACCAGAUUAUCCCAGAGAAGAACCGGAGAGAGAUCUCAAAAUACCUCUUCCAAGGUCACAUCAAUUUCCCUCUCUCUUUCAUGCAAUUUUUUACAUAUUAAUUGACUUCUGAUGUGGAGUUAAAAAAUUCAUGUAUAUAUAUUCGUAGAGGGUGUAUGCUAUGCGAAGAAGGAUUUCAACCUCGCCAAGCAUCCGGAAAUCGAUGUACCUAACUUGCAGGUGAUUAAGCUGAUGCAGAGCUUUAAGUCGAAGGAAUACGUGCGGGAAACCUUUGCCUGGAUGCAUUACUACUGGUAUUUGACAAAUGAUGGCAUUGAGUUCCUCCGUACCUACCUCAACCUUCCUUCGGAGAUCGUCCCAGCUACUCUCAAGAAGUCUGCUAAGCCUCUCGGUCGACCCAUGGGAGGCCCACCAGGCGACCGACCACGGUAAAUAAAUCUUUAUUUUUAGUUACUUUUCAUUGUAAUCUGAUACACGUGUUAGUUAUUGUCUUUGUUUUGAUGAUCUCGGUAAUUGAUCAAACGUUAUCUUCCCAGAACUAUAUUUAUUUAAUUUGUUGUUUCUUGUGCAAAUUAAUUGAAUUCCCAUUCUUGCAUGAUUAAUUCAUGGAGAAGCAUUAUGGAAUUUUUAUUCGGUUUUGCUCAUUGUUGUGGUAAUUGACCCUUAUAAUAUAUAGGGACACUAAUUACUAAUACAUUUUGAUUGAAAUAUAAGUUCUAGUUAUCUUUUUACAAAUGUGUUAGUAAUAUAUUGUCUUUAUUGGGUGUUGAUAGUGGACCACCAAGAUUCGAGGGUGACAGGCCAAGGUUUGGAGAUAGGGAUGGGUACAGGGGUGGCCCAAGAGGACCACCUGGUGAAUUUGGUGGCGAGAAGGGAGGAGCUCCAGCCGACUACCAGCCUGCCUUCAGGGUAAUUUGGAUUUUCUUAUGCUACAUCUUAUUUGAUUGAUGAAUUAUUUUCAGCCCUCUCUAUUUUAUGAAUACUGUAUGACAAUUUUUUGUUCCCUUUAUUUUUAAAGGAAAAUGGAGCUCAAGUGAAUUAAGCCUUUAGGCUUAUGUAAUUGUGUGCAAAUUCAUGAAUUCCUGUGCUGAUGGUAUUUAGGGCCUAUGGAAAUGGAAAUAAUUCCAUAAUUUUUAACCUUGAUCCUGUAUGUGAUUUGCAUUGACGAUACAUUUCACAAAGCCAAAUGUAAGCCCUUAUUUGUCCCUAUUAUUUCCAAAUUACAUUUUUCAGUCUCUUCUUUUCAACCACACAUUAUUUAAUAAAAUAAUAUUACACGUAAGCAUAAAAAUUUUCCUUAUUUUUUAAACACAUUCUCCAAUAAUCUACUAUUUUAAAAUGCGUUCUUACAUCAAAAUGGGGCUCAAACAUGCUUUAAGAUAGUUGUCACUAGGAAAUUUUUAAACCAUGUUUAUGCCAUGAAUAAUGCUAUCUAUAACAACUACUGGUGAUCAGCAGUAUAGAUGUCAAUUAUUAAGUGGCGUUAAUUGGUGUCAUCUUAAAUACAAGGAUAAGUGUACUGUCCCAUUUGGCAUAUCAUUUAAUGCUUAGUUACCACCUAUAGGCUGCUGAACAUCUAAGAAUCAAAUAUCACAAGUAACUUUUAUCCGACAUGGUUUAUUAAUCUGUAUCCAUUCUGUUAGGGUGUGUGUCAUAUGAGCUUUUGUGAAUGGCACAUUUGAGCUGUGGAAAUUGUUACUCUCUAAUUGUUUCUCACUAUUGCUCAAAGACACCAACUUGUAUUAUAUUGAAUUUGAAACAUAAAUUGAACUUUUUAUUAUUCUCUUUAUAUGUUACAAUGUAAUGUCAUUGGUUGUUGAUGGUUAAACUAGCAUCAAUAAAAAACUUCUUUUUGAAUUACCAUGCAACUGAUUUAGCCUUGUUUGAUUUUUAUUUUUUCAAAACCACUUUUCCUCGAACUCAUUUUUAACCACACAUUCACCUAAUAAAAUAAUAUUACUGGUGGAGGCAUAACUUAUUUCCUACUUUUUUUACCACACAUUUUUCAAAAAAAAAAAAAAAAUUUCAUAAAAUCCCUUCUCAAAAAAUAAAAAUUAAAUAAGGGCUCUUUUGCUUCUUGUAGGAUUCCUAAGCUUUCUCCUACUUUACUGCCUUAAAAAUCAACCCACCCUUUUAUUUUUGGGUUUUGUUCGUAGAAGAGUUGAGGUUGUGGGUUUUGGCUGCUUUUCCCUUAAAAAUUCAUUUCCCUUGAGCAUGUCUAGAGUAGCCAAUUUACAUUCUCAAAUAGUGAACAGCAUGGCUUAUUUGAUUCUGCUAAUUGUUAGUAUUUUUUGUUAUUUUAUGUCCAGUCUUUCAUCAUAUGGAACUUCACUCAAUUCAAUUUGACAUGCAGGGAUCCGGUGGAAGACCUGGAUUUGGACGAGGAUCUGGCAGCUUUGGUGGAGCACCCCCAAGUUAGAACUUGUCCUAGAUAUUCAUUUGCCAAGUUCCGUAUUUCUUGCAAAUUAGUGGUUAGAUAUUGGAACUUGUGUGGAAGCCGUGAGGCUUGCUUUCGCUUAGAAACGCUAUAUUGUAGUAUGAUCUUUUCUUAAAAUUUGUUACUUCGAACCUUAAUACUGGUUUCUCAAGUUAUUACCAGAGCAAGAAUUUUUGUUUUGCGAAUCCGUCCUUUUUAUUUCUGUGUGCUGAUUCUUACCGCUUACAAAUAUCUUGAAUUAUUCUUAGUACUUCAGUGAGAAGCCAGUAGAAGGGAUGG